AGCACUUCUGGAUAGUGCUGGCAGAUGUAAGUCCGACGUGCGGCAACGCACGGGCCGGGGUCAUUCCCCGGCCUUUGGGAUUAC
rnacentral:ncRNA from 1 species